CCCAGCGGUCGAUUUAGGCACCACUGGCCUCCUUGAAGCCCUUGGGUUCACAGGGAGCAGUGGUAAAGCAAGCAUGUCUGCAAUAGACAUUAGUAAGAGGCGACUGGAGGAUUGGUGGAAGAAAAGUAGGGAAACGACAAAAGACGGAGACGUACAAAAGCACAGUUCGCAAUAGGGGAUCAGAAAAUUUGGGCGUGGUAGUUCAGAGUGUUUUUUUUUUCUUUCUUCAUUGUGUAACCUAGGUAGGAUAUUAGGCAGUACAGUAGCAAGAGCUUGGUGGCGCAACCCACCGCCCCGUUCCAAAGGGGACGCUCAUAACAUCCAUCCAUCCAUCCAUCCGGAUAGAGACACUGGAAAAAAUUUCAGAGUAUCGCAUUUGUUUUCCGCGCGCCGCCGCCUGCCCCGGCCACCGGUGAUUGGGUUACUCGUGUCACGUGACCUUUUGUCGCCAUUUCCCUUCCAAGUGCUUUCAAGGCACGUCGAACACAAAGGGGACGCAACGUGUACGGAGAGCGUGCACUUUGCGGCUGGCGACAGCACUUUGUUUUUGGCGAACACACAGGCGACAGAAGUUACCGUAACAUUGUGCCUGGUUGCUGCGCCUUCGCGUGCAGCAACCAAACGGAGUCCAGAAAGGCAUUUUUCUGCCUUCCAUGCGGAAAGGACGACCGGGAUCGACGUUCUGCGUGGCUGCACAGAAUUGGCCGCGAAAGCUUCGCGCCCUCGAACACCCUAAUGUGCGAGGAUGCCAAUCUUGCUGACAAUACAAAGCAAGUCGGAGACUUGUGGAGUCCUGGAAUGAGGACACCACCCACUCGACCUCAAGAGCAACCACCUCGAUGGUCCGAAUAAAUGUUUUUUAUCUCUCUCUC